UUGGGGGGCUCCCAUUAUUUUCUUUAAUUUGUGAAACUUGCCAAAAUGGCUCUUUGAGUGGUAAAGGUUGCCGACCCCUGUCCUGGACCGACCUGAUUAGGAACUGGUGUAGCAGGUAUAUAAUAAAUAUGUUAUGCAUUCCACCAAAAUUCCCUCACGUUUUAUUUAAUUGCUCUAUUGUAUUCAUUGUCACUUUUAAUUAGUAAUUUUUUUCAGCAAAUAGUUCGUUUUAGGAGCAUUUGUCAUUUUAUUUUGAAGUCCCACCUUCUUCCGGUAGUGACGUUGUCUUCCUCACUUGCUGUUGAGACAUGCCGUGACUCCAGACUGGUGUGCUGCAGACUCGUGUGUUAAUGCUGCUGCAUUAUUUCCUGUGUAUUUCAUACAGCAAUAAAUACGCCACCUGUUUCGGCUAAAGGCAACCACCGAGUCCCCUUGUCUUCAAAGCAACCCCAGCAAUACACAACGCAGACUCGAUCCGGCUACACUGGUACCAAAAAAUACCAGUACUUGGUAUACAUCUCUAUCUUUUACACAUUCACACUGCACUUCUGUUUGUUUUACUCUGUUGUUGUAACUGGGGGUGUCCCAACCCAAUAUGGGGAUUGGAUAUCAGUAAAAAGCAACCAUCGGGUAAGAUCAGCAGGCAUGUAAAAUCCCUCCUACAAGCUGCGAUACAAGCAGUCCUGCCCUGUUUUUACUUGUGCAAAGCUGGACAGCCAGUUAACAACUAAAUGUCUUCCAAUAAACAUACAAGGUUGGUCUUUAUUGUAUUUUAGUCAAGUCAUUUACUAAAGGUAAACAUGGUAGGCUAUAGGCUUCUGUACUAGUAGUUAGCAACUACACAACAGCUAAGCACACAAUAGCAUACAAGCUAGACAGACAUAGUAUGUGUUAUAAAUUGAACAAUAUAUCAGUGUAAAACAGCACAUUUGUCAAUAUAAACAAGUAUUAAAUGAUUAUAGUUAGUAGUAAUUAUAGUAAAAUACCAAUCCACUUCAACUUAAAUAAAGCAUAGGUCCAUUUAACACUGUUUGUAUUAAAUUGUUGGUGGCAAAAUAUAAUUUGGUGAUAAAGAUUUUUGCUAAAGGAAGAAAUGAUUGACUAAGGCUAGCUACUAGGGGUGUGGGAAAAAAUUGAUUCAAAUUCGAAUCGCGAUUCUCACGUUGUGUGAUUCAAAAUCGAUUCUCAUUUUUAAAAAAUCUAUUUUUAAUUUAUUUUUUUUAAUUAAUCAAACCAACAAAACAAUACACAGCAAUACCAUAACAAUGCAAUCCAAUUCCAAAACCAAAACCGACCCAGCAAAACUCAGAACUGCAAUAAACAGAGCAAUGAGAGGAGACACAAACACAACACACACCAAACAAAAAGUAGUGAAACAAAAAAUAAUAUUAUCAACAACAGUAUCCAUUUUAUUUCAACAUAGCAGUGAUUAAAAAUCCCUCAUUGACAUUAUCAUUAGACAUUUAUAAAAUAAAAUAAAAAAGAACAAUAUUGUCACAGUGGCUUACACUUGCAUCACAUCUCAUAAGCUUGACAACACAAUGUGUCCAAUAUUUUCACAAAGAUAAAAUAAGUCAUAUUUUUUGUUCAUUUAAUAGUUAAAACAAAUUUACAUUAUCGCAAUCAGUUGAUAAAACAUUGUCCUUUACAAUUAUAAAAGCUUUUUACAAAAAUCUACUACUCUGCUUGCAUGUCAGCAGACUGUGGUAGAUCCUGCUGAAAUCCUAUGUAUUGAAUGAAUAGAGAAUCGUUUUGAAUCGGGAAAAAUCGUUGUUGAAUCGAGAAUCGUGUUGAAUUGAAAAAAAAAAAUAGAUUUUGAAUCGAUUCGUGACACCAAGAAUCAAUAUUGAAUCGAAUCGUGGGACACCCAAAGAUUCACAACCCUACUAGCUACAAGGAGGUGAGUGACACCAAGAAUCAAUAUUGAAUCGAAUCGUGGGACACCCAAAGAUUCACAACCCUACUAGCUACUAAGGCUUGAUUAAGGCAGGGUAAAAUCGGAUUUGUUUACGUCGUCGUUCACACUUCAAAAAAAUGCAAUGUCUAAUAAGAACGCUAUCUGAACUGCAUGCUGACAUGACUUCAUGACAAACAUUUGACAGACAGUUGCGAUAGCCAAUCAGAUCAUGAGUUGUUGUCAGUAAGGCCUUCUAGCUGGCCUAAGGCAGAUAUAUAUUGUGAUGUUAUGAGCUAGGUAACAUAAGAACUCCAUUACCCAGCAUGCCACAAUAGUGAAGAGCAUGCGCAGUAGCCUCGUUUAGGUUGUUGAAUGUGGCGAUGCCGGCAGCAGGAUGUUAUUGACGAGCACGCUGUAGAGUAAACUUUAAGAACUUAGGCAACACGCCUCGUCUGCAUCUUUUAUGAUUAGACAAGACAACACAUAUAUUUGCAAGGCCAUUUUCAAGAAGGACAUUUAAAGAGAAAUUACAUCUCGUGAGAUGAUGUCGGCCAACCCCGGAAGCUGGAAUGGGUUCUACUAAUUGUGAGUUCAAAUAUUUAAUUUAUUUUUUCACGUUUAAUAUGUUUUUUGCAGUUUUAAUUUCGACAGUACCACAUAAGAUAUGUUUUAAUUGCUGAUGCGGGUUUAUUGAUUUUUAAAUGCGCCAGAAAAUAACCCGUUUUGUACAAUGUUGAUGUGGUGAUUCAAUGCCCAGUAGUGCGUAAAUGUGUUUAUGUACAGUAUUUCUCCAGCAAUGGUCAUGUGGGGACAUAAAUGAUGGUAUUUUGAGAGGUAAUCAUUGAAGUCGGACGUCACUGAAGGCCUAGGUGGGAAAUGCACGUCCCGCCACUGAAUUUGAAUAUUUUGAAAUUGCACUGUUCACAUUCUCAUGAAAAAAAUCUGAUACAGGUCAAAUAUGGGCAAAAAAAAUCAGUAUUGACCUGCAGUGUGUACAAGCCUGAGUGAGUCGGAAAAGUCACGCUGUCCGUCUGACUCGCCGCUUCCGCCCACUCGCCCAUUAGGACUGCACUUUACUGCUUUCACUCAGCAACCGCAGUCCUGCUGAAGUCAAUUUAAGUAUCUGGUGCAUAUUCCUUGAAAUAUGAAAGGAUGUUGUCUUUCUCCUUUGAAUAAAUUGGAAGUUGCUCGUUGAACUACGACAUUUAUUCUAAGUGCAGUGAGUGAGCGUGCGUUGGUACAAGAGAGGAGACGCAUUAAACGGUCCACAGCACACAGUUUAGUUUUACAUUGCAAACACUGGAUGGGAGUCCUUCUUGCUGUAAGAACUGCUUUAACUGUCAGUAUUCUAAUUCCGGUCAAUUCAAAUUUGAUUUUCUGGAUUUAGAUCUGGUAACCAUGCACUCUUUCCAAUAAGUACCUCCACAAUUUUGUGAUGUUGCGAUAGUGCCAAUUCCCAUUAAUUCAACCUAUUCUUGCAAAUAUGCGCAGCCUCGCAACGUUGUCCAAGUCUCACAACUUCCCUGCACAUUUUAGACAAUCAACGUCGUUUUUUGCCAAUCUUUUUUUUUUUUUUUAAACUGCAUUCAAACACGCAUGUCAACUGUCUAAUCAAUACUUAUGUUUGUUUCUCAUAAAAACAAAGCAGGAACAACAACGUGCAACAAUAUAUGAACUAUUGAUCAAACAACACAAUUGUUGGCUUACCAUGUAGCUCAGACUUACUUCAUGUUCCUGUCUACAUCACUAAGCCCUCUGGGUAAUAUCGUACAUAAACAUUUAGCAGCACACUGUCACGGCCCGGGCGCACUGCAGUGCGCAUUCAUGUGUGUGCUGCGCCAGUCUGGCUGCAGCAUGCAGCUGCAAUCAACACACCUGAGGCUGAUGAUGAGACCUGCCUUCUUAAGCCUGCACAACCUGUUAUCCCGCGCCAGAACGUAGUCAUCAGUUCCUGUACACCUGCCUUCGUUCCCACAUUACGAGCAGUGUGUCUGGUUUCCCCGCAUUCCCUCUGCUUCUCCCUCUUGGAUCUCAACCUCCCGCCUCUCUCCUCCCCUGGACCUAACGUCUGCGCACGGACCUCCGAGCCAGCCGAGCCCCUCUUGGACUUCCGCCUCUCGCUCAACACUCCCGGUAACACUCAGCAGUUAAUUCCCACACAUAGUCGCACACCAUACACUUGGAUUUAGUCACACUCCAUUCUCUAGUUUAUUAAUAUUAUUAUUUGUUAUUUAUAUAUACAAUGUAUAUAUAUAUAUAUAUAUAUAUAUAUAUAUAUAUAUAUAUAUAUAUAUAAAUAUAUAAAUACAGCUUAUACGCCG